UAUUUUGCAGAGCGACCUCCUUGUUGUUAGAGAGUGCUUCAGGGCUGCAACUUGCCAGCUCGGCUUAUGCUGUUAGUGACGCCCCUAUCUCUAAACCAACGAGUUUGUUUUGCAUUUUAGAGAGGUUGGGGGUAAUCUCAAAUUAGGACGGGACACCAUUUCUCAAGUGAAGGAUCAGGAGACAGAAGCAGUCGACUGGCGCGAGGUGAAGUCCAACGACGAAAUGACAAGCGGUGUAUAUUCUUCUCUUCGUAGGGCCCAGCUGACCUACGAUUAUCUGCACACCAACAGUACUACUCAUGAAUUCCUCUUUGGCGCUUUGGCGGAGUUGGUCGACAACGCAAGAGAUGCUUCCUCACAGAAAAUAGACAUCUAUACAGGUUGGUAAACAAGCUUCGUGAGUUGUAAACAUAAACAAUAACACUGUAAGUAGCUAAAGGUAAACGUAUGUGAAUAGUUAUGUUAAAUUUUCUGAGUGUUAUAAUUGCUUGUAUCUUUCAUGGCAGUAGAUUGCUUUCCUUAUGAAAGAGAGUAAUAAAAUUCAGAUUGUAUUUUAGUUUUAUUGAACAGUGUGAAAGGUGAUAACUUUCCUGUAAUGGUUUUUAAAGCUGAAUAAAUUAAUAAAUUAUUACAAGUGGUGAAGCUAAGUAGUGGUUGCCAUGGAAUUUUACUGAUUGAAGAAACCUCAUCAUUAGCUUUCCAGUCAUUGACUAUGUGGUUUGCUCCCCACCUCAAAACUUUACAAAUAUAAUUUUAGCAUAAACAAAACAUUUCCUAUUAUUAUGUGGUAAAUGAUCUUUGACUCGCAUAAGUGUCGACAUGUAAGUUUCACUUUUGUUUUACAGUCAAACCUCAAUUAUUCGGACUCAUUGGGACUAGACAAAAUAGUCUGGAUAAUCCAGGGUCCAGAUAAUCGAAAAUGUGAAUAUUAAUGAAGAACAAAACUGUUUAAAUAAAGCAACAUUUAACCGUAAAACAACACUUU